CAAAAAAUAUACAUACAACUUCUAGCUAAAAAUGAAUUCUUUGUUUUGGCAUAGUAUUUUGGUUUUAAUAUUUAUACAAAAAGUGAUUGAAAUUAAAGCCGACUCAAACAUAAAAUUUUUUUUAAAUAGUAUGCAAUGCGCGGAUUGUAAAGAUCUCGACCCAAAUUGCAAAAUUAAAGAUUACGGAUAUUACUGUGAGGAUCCCGAAGACGCAAAAGCUGUUAAAAUUGAUAUGAAUAAAACUUUCCCGUUGGAUCACCUGAAAAAAUGCAUGCCUAAGAAUCAUUACUUCAACGCAGGAAGGUUAAUACGCGGUUUAUGUUGCUUUUGGUCACCAGAAAAUGGCUGCCAAGCGGUACAGAGUAAACUUGAUACUGCAGAGUGCUCCAAGUGCUUCGCGGAUUCAACCAAGGGCUGCCCCUGCAAUUCCAGGUCUAAAACAGUAAUAAAUGGUCAAGAAAACCGAUGCAAGUCCUACAGCUAUUUGCUUCCCAUCACUGCAAGCCUUUUGGUUUUCAAAAUUAACUAGCUUAGCUUAUAAAGUUUUAAUUUUUGUUUUAGCUGCUUUUUUUAAACCCUUUUUGGACUAAAAAUAUCAGUUAAAACAAAAAUUAAAAGGAAAAACAUAA